rnacentral:rRNA from 1 species
CGUAGGUGGCGAGCGUUGUCCGGAAUUACUGGGCGUAAAGGGAGCGUAGGCGGUUUUUUAAGUGGGAUGUGAAAUCCCCGGGCUUAACCUGGGAAUGGCAUUCCAAACUGGGAAACUAGAGUGCAGGAGAGGAAAGUGGAAUUCCAAGUGUAGCGGUGAAAUGCGUAGAGAUUUGGAGGAACACCAGUGGCGAAGGCGACUUCUGGACUGUAACUGACGCUGAGGCUCGAGAGCGUGGGGGGCGAAACAGGAUUAGAUACCCUGGUAGUCCACGCUGUAAACGAUGAAUACUAGGUGUUGGGGGCUAAGCCCUCAGUGCCGCAGUUAACACAUUAAGUAUUCCGCCUGGGAGUACGAUCGCAAGAUUA